CUUAUAUUAACAUGGCAAACCUUUUACCCAAGAAGAAAUAUACAUAAAAGACUGAUUUCAAUCAUCCUGGAAAUAGACACAGAAGAAACAAAUUUAUUACAAAAUCCCGCUCUUUUAUUCCUCAUCUAUACCUUUUACGCCAUUUUGUUUUUUUGGGGAUUUCACUUUAUCUUUAUUUACUCUUGACUUGUUUCUGUCACAGUAAAUGGAAC